CACUUAUCAAUAUCUGAGGAAGACCUGCAUAACCUGGUGACAAAUGUGAUCACAGAGUUUCCAGAUUCAGGCUACAAUAAAGUGUCAGGGUUUCUUUGCAGUAUGGGAGUGAGGGUGCAGAAAAAGAGGCUAAGGGAAGUUAUGAGGGCUGUCAAUCCCAUUGGUGUUUUCUUAAGGGGCCUGACAAUUAACACCAUCAAGUGAGGAGGCUAUAGUGUACCAUCGCCAUGGGCACUCUGGCACAUUGAUGGCAAUCACAAGUUAAUCAAGUGGAGGAUUAUAAUCCAAGGAGGAAUUUGUUGUGAUCGCCGGUGAAG